CCCUUAGAUGUUCUGGGCCGCACGCGCGCUACACUGAAGGGAUCAGCGUGUUUUCCCUUUCCGAGAGGAACGGGUAACCCGCUGAACCCCCUUCGUGGUAGGGAUCGGAGCUUGCAAUUGUUCUCCAUGAACCAGGAAUUCCCAGUAAGCGCAAGUCAUAAGCUUGCGUUGAUUACGUCCCUGCCCUUUGUACACACCGCCCGUCGCUACUACCGAUUGAACGUUUUAGUGAGGUAUUUGGACUGGGCCUUGGGAGGUUUCGGCCUCCCUUGUUGCUCGGAAAGACUCCCAAACUUGAGCGUUUAGAGGAAGUAAAAGUCGUAACA
rnacentral:rRNA from 1 species